GCAGGUUUACUUUAUGUAAACAGGAUUAGAUCGCGGCCACGCAGGCUCCCGUUCUCCACUCAUCUGCUGCUGCUAAUUAAUACCACUGGGGAGGAGGAGGAGAGAAGACAGAGGGAUGGGAGGAAUUUCUCGUCUCCUUCUCUCGGUAUACCAUUACAGCCUAGUCCACCUCUGCCUCCCCUCGAUCUCUGCUGAAGAAGAAAUGCUCGAGCAGGUUUUGGCUUCUCUGCUUAGCGGGUCACUGGCUGCUUGUGGCCGUCCAUCAAGGAAAUAUGUGGCAGUCGGGAGAUGAAAAAAGGCAAGGAGGACUGCCACCAGCUACCACACUACGGUAACCAUCUGUUCCAAAAACUUUCCUGCAGUUGGUGGCGGUAGAUCAUUAACACAGAGUCCCGUCACUUCAGGAGCUAGCCCAUCUAACUUUGCUAACCUCUACCUGUUAUUUGUUUAUUCACACACUAUAUUUUAUGACUCAAGCAAUUUUUGGAACAUCUGUGCACUACUUGCUAUGUCUGCACAACCCCAUCUAUUUCAGACUUUGUACACUCUGGCAAAUUUCACUUUUGGGGCAUGUGUGUCCGUUGCUGGGCCCGCAUGGUUGCACUGUGGCUUUUAAAGCCUUUGUACAGCCCUGGAUUUGUUCCUGUCAUUUAGCUAACUAAAAAAAUCUUCCAGUGUGGAAUAAUGAUAAGUCGGCCCCUUUCAGUAAAUGGAGAAUUUACUGUAAUAUUUUUCAGAUGGUUUGGAGCACGGGAGUUUUCUUCCAUGUGCGCGUUAUGAUCCACAUAUCAACAAAAACAGCCCGUAGCCCAAACCAAUCAGCAUGCGAGGAUACAGUUGGAUUAGGAUAGAAUAGAUAGAAUAAAAUGAGCCAAAUGCUGAAUUUAAAGACUGACAUGUACAGUGCUGUUUGAAGCUUGCAAACUUGCACUAUACUGUAUUGCUUAAUUAAUUUCAUGCCCUUCUUUCUUUUGUGUCUGUGCUGAUUGUAUGUGAGAGAAGGGUGAAAGGAAAGGAGCAAGAGUGGUGAUCCUCUAAGCUUUGCUUAUUUUCUAGAGUGCCCAGUAAUUACAGAUGAGCAAAAUAUAUUUUUUAACUGAAUUAAAAAUUUUGUGUAUAAAACUAGACUACAUGACCUUCUAAGCGGUGAUACAAAACCAACGUGGUGCUUAUGGCGUAAUCUUAACUUCUGUAUGCUGUCAGCACUCACGGUGAUGAGACAUUUGCUUAGCGGCAUUAAACAAAAUAUAUUUGAGGUUAAAUGGUAAAGGUAACAACCAGCAGGUCAGUAUUUAAUCUUUAUAUGAUUCAAACUAUCAUUUGGAUAUGGACAUUAUAUUAAAGUUAUAUUACAUUAUAUAAUAGUUCAUAUUCAGUGUUAGGUAAUGUUGGUGGCUAUGGCUCAGGUGGUAGAGUGAGCAGAUUGAGCUCCAGCCUUAGCUGAACUUUGCUGAGCUAACUAGCCUUUGGUGCAGCACUCCUCCUCCUCAGUGGGCUCCCCCACCAGUCUUGUUGAGCUGUGCUUGACUUGCAGGUGUGCUUCUACAUAUUUGAUGUAAAGCCGCAGCUGACAAACAUUCAUUAUCGGCCAAGGAUACAUCUUCAUUUCUCUUACACUUGUGUCUCAGUGGAACAAUGUCACAAGUUAAGAAUGAAUACUGAACACUAGUACAAAUGCACCUGUGCAUGCUGUUGGGAGGUAGAAACAAAAGAAACAUAGGAAAUAUGGUGCAACAGUUACAAAUAGCUAAUAUGAAAAAGUAACAGUUUUUGAGGCUGAUUGGACAACAAAGUAACCAGAGUACUCUAAUGAGCUCAUUUGUAAUGCAUUUCCCUCCACAUUGCUCAGAUACCGUGUACAUGUAUAUAUUGGUUAUUUUCAGCAUAUAACACAAAUAUGGUCUAAGACAGAGCUACUGGAAGAACAAUGGUAUGCUUCACAAAGCAAAAAGCAAUGCAUUAUAUAGGAGGUUAAACACACAAGUACAAGAAUGCCAGCACUGUAACAAAGCAACAAUGUCUGAGAGGUGAUAUGAGCAUAAUAGGAAAGGUCUGUGCAGCAGUAGUGAUAAAAAAAAUGCUAUGUGAAUUUAUAUAUGCACUUUCCUUGCUGUGGUCACAAAGACGGGAAAAGCGCUAUAUUAAUAAAGCCUAUUUAAAAAUAUUUAAACAUCUUUACAGACACCCUCUUUAGUUUUAAGAUUAGGCUUAAAAAUGUUGUUUUUUAUAGUUUGAGCCAGAUCAGGUGACCCUGAACCCUCCCUUAGUUACGCUGGAGUAAGCCUAGGCUGCUGAGGUCUUCCCAUGUUGCUCUUAGCAAAGUUUCUUCUUCACUCACCUUUUUUCACACUCUAUGCAUUUAACCAUGAGUUAUUAUUAAUCUCUUUUUCCCUUCCACAGUGUCUCUUUUGUCCUGUCUCCCUCUCACCCCUAACCUGUCACGGCAGAUGGCUGAGCUCGUUAGGGAGAAAACUUUGGUGCGUCGACGUCCGCGAGCUCUUCCAGGAAUGGUGAUGAUGCUUUCCAGGAAAAGUCGAGAGGCACUGAGUUAGUAUGUGUUGAUCGCAAACGUAAUCAGCUCCAGAGCAGGUAAGGUAUUCAGCAGAAGUUACCGUGGCGAUGCAACAAGGUAAAUGAACCACCUUUCCAACAUCGAAAACCCAAACUUACCUCAUCAAAACCCCUAGCAAGGUUCGUCCUGGUUCGUUUAACUUCAAGUGAAUGAAUUCCCCUAACUUUUAUUUACUUCUCAAUAUGUUUUACUCUUUACUUUCUUCAUUUUAUCAGCCUUUUCAUCACUGUAUGGUAAUUUUUCUUUAUCGAAUAGUAUGAAGAUUUCAUUUCAAACAUUUAAUAGGCUGUUAUGAACUCCAUGCACACACGCACACGCACGCACACACACACACACACACACACACACGCACUCUCUCUUAGCCACCCACACGUAUGCAAAAGGGCGAAUGAUACAUAAAACAAAUUCUGCUUCUUUUCCCUGACGGGAUCCUGGAUAAAAGAAAGAAUAACAAAAAAAAUCUAAAUAUGAUUUCACCACAUAGCUUGCUACAAGGACAUAAAGAUGCUGUGUGUGUUUGUGCGUCUCUUCCUCGGUGUAACAACACACAGAGGAAAACCGUCCUUCAUUCUGUGCCUGCUUGUUUGUGUGUCAUUUGUGAAUACAUAGUACAUGUGAAAGCCUGCUUUCAUAAAUGCUAAAGAAAUAAAAAGUAAUCUUUCACUGAAUAAUCAUUAGCAAUAGAUGAACUGAUUAGCAGUGCUGUGAAGUAAGAUAAUGAGAGUCACUGCUGUAUCUUCCUCCCACACAUUCCUUGCCCUGCCUGAUUAAUUAGCUUUUUUUUGACCAGGCUGAGGCCAUGCCAUUCCCGCCCAGUAGCUGAAGGAUCACAGAGCGUGCGAGUGUGUGCCUGCGUGUUUGUGUGAAAUGCAGGCGCUGAAUAAGACUACUGGUUGAGUCCCAUACCUUUGGCAUGAACAAAAUUAUAUACACAACAUCGACAACCUCCAUUUCAACGGAAGAAAAAAAAAUGUCUGUAAACACAGUAAAUCAGUGUUUGCUCUCUCCAUAAGCAGCAGUCCAGACCAACUAAAGGCAUAAUAAGUAUGUCUGUGGAUGCAUGUUUUCCAUAACUUAGCAGUUACUGUGAGUAUAUUAUAAUGCACAAUUCUGCCAUCCAAACUACACGAGAGUUACUUAAUAAUUAUCUAAUUACUACGGAGCCCUGAAGUCGCUUGGAGAGUACAGGCUACAGUUUUGAUUAAGUUGAAUGCACAAGAUGCAAUAUGGCUCCACGAUUUAGUUACUUGUCCACACAAUAUAUGCAUAUAGAGAGAGACUAGCCUUUCUCCCUGAAUUAUGAAGAAGUCAGCAGGCGCCCGGGCUUUAUAACUCAUUACUUAAAAGUUAAAAAUCCUCUUUCCAUCCACAGUAAUCUGCUCCAGACUAAUUUUAAUCAAUGCAAGCAGAUCACAGUGCAAGACAAACAAUACUGAUCUCUAUUGGUUUUGGUUAAACCUUCCAAACACGCCAGACUGGCAUUGUGUCUACACCUGAAUGCAUGCAAAGCAUCUGCCUUCACACAGGUGCUCACAAUCAGCAUGUAAUGCGUUUCAUGUUGUGAUGGAGAAAGCUUUGUGAGGUGUUUCUAAAGCUGUGAGGAAAUUCGGAGAAAAAAAUCCGAUAGAACGAGACAGAGCACGGAAAGUUUGUUCAGCUGGCCGACAUUAUUGUCCAAUAUUAGCCAUAUAAGAAUCGAUCUAUUAAUCUACUGGUAUCUGUGCAAUAAACGAAAAUUCAAAGAGCAAAGAAGGGACGGGAGAAACACCCUCCACUCCAAUUAUAUGAGUGUUGCAUAGUCCAGCAGAGGGCAAUUUCCUUUUUGGUAACAGAAAAGUCAAGUAGAAUGUAUAAGAGAAGAUAAAUAAAAAACACAUAACAUGUUAGGGAAAUCCAUACAUGCUUCAAUUGUCUGUUUAGAAAACAAAAUGAUUGGCCGAUAUAUCGAACAAUAGGCCAAUUUCUUUAAAUCAGCAAAUGUCAUUAUCAGCAUUAAAAAUCAUAUAUCAAUUGAUCUCUGGAACUAGAUAUUUAGAAUAAGAUGAUAGGAAAUUUUGAAAGAAAUGUUAAAAUGAAAUGUACACACAUAUUAUUAAAGAAAAUGUGUCUUGUUUUUCUCGCCUUCUGGAAAUAACUAAUUAAAAAUAUCAGUAAUUUGCUACACAAACCAAUUACAGACUUUUCUUAACGACGCUUACUGACUCCACAUUAAAAAAAAACAAAACAAAAAAAAAAGCCUCUAAAAAGAUUUUUACUAGCAGGUUUUUGUUGCUGCUUCCAGGAUCACCUGUCAUCACUGGAAGAGUCAGUCCAAACCAGCGUUUGGGGAGUGUUUAAAAAUGACAGACUUUCUUUCUUUUGAUUCCUUUACUGCAAAGACUAACAAUUCCCAUGGAAAAAUUUAUGAGGUUGCGCUUCUUAAAGUACAGAGGUGAUGAAACUUGACUGGAAUAUUUUUUUUGUCUACAGUAAAUAUGCUAACCCAAAAGUGUGCCUCAGUGUCUUUAUUUUAUUGUUCAUAUAGUGCUUCCUGGCAAUUCUGCCGGUCCAGAUUUACAGGCGCUGUACAGUGAAAAGCCACCCCUCAUUUCUUUAUAUUUUACUAGGAAAAUGGGAAACUAAUGUAGCAAAACAUGUGCAAGCAUACAUAGAUAUACAAUAUAUAAGGCAACUGAGUUUGUACAACUCUAACGAGCAUGAAAAUCAGUAUUUGAUAUUUGACCAUAUUUUUUCUUCAACUCGGAUCUCACAGGCAAACGUUUUUCAAGAAAAUAGAAUAGUCAGGGAGAUAAAUGAAGUAGACACUGGGAGGCGUGCACACUGACAAAGAUUUAAGCCAAAA